rnacentral:lncRNA from 1 species
AACACGUUCACUAGGAGGGCCCACCUGAGUACACAAGUGGAGGAGAAGGUUUCCUUCCAAUAAUCAUGGCCAUUCCAGAAGAAGACGUACAGUACUGCUGAAUAAGGACCAAACGUGCAAGAUAAACAGAGCUCUGUUUCCAGCUCUGCCGUCCUACAGCUCUGACUUCUCAGGCCGAUGCUCAGCACUGGAAGCCGGGGCAUGGAGAGAUGCUGACCUCUCAGAGGUGAACACCCACGGUGCCUGGCCUGCUGCGCAUGGAGCCCUCCCCUCCCGCCCUGCUGGAGACUGUGGACCCUUCCCUGCACACAUCACUGUGGUGACGAAAAGUGGCUCACUGGAUUCAGGUGUGCUUUAAGUACACGAUGUACAUCAAUUUGGAAGGCAGCAGGAAGAAAUGUAUGAUAUCUUAAUUUUUACACUAGUUACAUAUUGAAAUUAUAGUACUCUGGAUGGGUUGGAUUAAAUAAAAUAUAAUCAUGUGCCAUAUGAUGAUUGUUUGGUCAAUGGCAGGCUGCAUACAUAAGGCUGGUCACAUAGGUUGUUCUGCCCAGUGACAUCCUAGCCCUUUGAGUUUAAGGACUCCGUGAUAUUUGCACAAUGACAAAUCACCUAAAGACAGAACCUGUCUCUGCUAAGUG